rnacentral:rRNA from 1 species
UACGUAGGGUGCAAGCGUUGUCCGGAAUUAUUGGGCGUAAAGAGCUCGUAGGCGGUCUGUCGCGUCUGCUGUGAAAACUCAGGGCUUAACCCUGAGCUUGCAGUGGGUACGGGCAGACUAGAGUGCGGUAGGGGGAGACUGGAAUUCCUGGUGUAGCGGUGAAAUGCGCAGAUAUCAGGAGGAACACCGGUGGCGAAGGCGGGGUCUCUGGGGCCGUAACUGACGCUGAGGAGCGAAAGCAUGGGGAGCGAACAGG